UAUCUUAAUGUUCUGUCAUUAAUAUAUUUGAAAGCAUUUAUACAACCAUUAUCUCUAAUAAACUAGCAGAAACAAACACAAAGAGAAAGAAAACAAAGCGAAUCCUUACUCUUUUCACUCUCAAAAUUGCUAUUUUUUCUUCUGAACCCACAAGACUCACUCUUUCUCUUGUUCAUUCUCACGAAAGAUAAUAACAAGCAGAUGGAUAGGCCAGAAAACCAUAGAACCAAAUCAACAAACCAUCAUGAAUGCAAAUUACCAAACCCUAUCCAAACUUUGCCAUAGAAAUCAACAAGUGUAGUGCGAAUGCAUGAACAAAACAAAACACAUACACGAAAAAAAUGAACGAAACCAAAACCCCAACGCGGCCUUAUACUCCAAUUUCAUUCUUCAUGGUGAUGUGUUACAUAUAUAUAAUCGCAAGAUCAAAGUGAAAGAAAAGCAAUAAUGAAAAGUAUCAAAGAAUCUACCACACACCAAGUGUUGUCAGGGGGAAUGAUUAGGUCUUGCAUCAUGUAUGAAUUGUGUGCUUGCAGGGUGAAUGGAAUCAUUUCCGCAGGGUCUUCUCCUAGGAAUGGGAACAAAUUCAAUCAUCGCCCUUCACUUUGUGAGAUCCCAUUGUCUUUGAUUUUCUGAUGUAAGGUUGACUUGAAGUAAAGAAGGAAGAAUAGAAAGAUCUCCUAAGGCAGUGUCAUAACAAGGUUUCGCUAGACUAAGUUUGCUGCUUCUUGGAGUGUCUUCGAAGAAAAGAGUGCAGGAAGUGGCUAUUGUCAACUGAUAUGUAGCUUCAAAUUGAACAUUUUUCUUGUAAUGCCAUAGUGUCUUUUAGAUCAUAAGUAAUGCAUUGUGUAGAUCAUGGGAAUUAUUAAUACAAUUAUUAAUUGUGUCUUUAA